AACACACACAAAACUGAGGAAAAAACUUCUCCCAACGCAACUCCAAUACGUUUAAUUAAACGGUUUAAAUAUACUAAUAAAAGUUAUUCCACAUCCGAGCUGAGCUUUAAUAACAACAAAAAUGCACCCAGCGUUCGACUUGGUCUUGGGCAUUAGGGCUGCAUCGCUGUUGCUAUCGAUGGUCGAUGGCCAGGCCAGUGCUGACGAUAGCGAUGACUCCACUUAUAAGCCAGAGAUAGCGUGGAACAUAUCGGGGACUAAGCAUCCCUGCAUUAGCUACGCUGGCGCUAUGAUAUUUUAUUAUAUGUUUAUAAUGAGUCUUGAAAUCUGUUACGAAUAAAGUAAUUUUCAUGGCGGCUCUCUUAAUAUAUGUAGAGUGUAACCCAACGGAACCCAACCACUCAUGUA
rnacentral:sRNA from 1 species